CCCUUAGAUGUUCUGGGCCGCACGCGUGCUACACUGAGUAAUUCAAUGGGUAAGGGAACGCUAGAGCAUUACCUAAUCUUGAAAUUUGCUCGUGAUGGGGAUCGACGGUUGCAAUUUUCCGUCGUGAACGAGGAAUACCUUGUAGGCGCAUGUCAUCAUCAUGCGCCGAAUACGUCCCUGCCCUUUGUACACACCACCCGUCGCUCCUACCGAUUGAGUGAUCCGGUGAGGCUCUGGGACCUGGACGGAAAGAGCGUUUCGCUUGUUCUGUUUGGGAAACUUGGUCGAACCUUAUCAUUUAGAGGAAGGAGAAGUCGUAACA
rnacentral:rRNA from 1 species